rnacentral:rRNA from 1 species
UACGUAGGGGGCAAGCGUUGUCCGGAUUUAUUGGGCGUAAAGCGCACGCAGGCGGUCGCGUAAGAGUGCGGGGACAGUGGGCGGCUUAACUGCCCAAGGGUCGCACAGACUGCGUGACUGGAGGGCCAGAGAGGGACCUGGAAUUCCGGGUGGAGCGGUGAAAUGCGUAGAUAUCGGGAGGAACACCUGUGGCGAAAGCGGCGCACUGGACCACAACUGACGCUGAGGCGCGAAAGCUAGGGGAGCAAACAGG